CUUCCUUCCUUUUCCUUUUCUCCUUUCCUUUCUUUUCCUUUUAUCUCCUUUCCUUUGCUUUCUUUUUUCUUCCCUGCCCUUAUCCUUGUCCUUUCCCCCUCCCCUCUCCUUUGUCUUCUGAAAGGUAUUUACAAAGGCAUCUCCCUUUAUGCUUAUCCUCACAACAUCAACCCUGUCAGCUCAGGAUUGUAUUAGCACACAGCUGGCCUCAUAGUCAAGUGAUCGUCCACUAGGACUUCAAGGUCCCACUCACAGUCACUGUUUUAAGCAUCCCCGGGGUCACGUGAUCGAAAUUCGGCCACUUGGAAACUGGCAUGUACUGAUG